UUUGAUCCUGGCUCAGGAUGAACGCUAGCUACWGGCUUAACACAUGCAAGUCGAGGGGCAGCAUUGGAGUAGCAAUACUUCAGAUGGCGACCGGCGCACGGGUGAGUAACACGUAUCCAACCUGCCGCUUACUCGGGGAUAGCCUUUCGAAAGAAAGAUUAAUACCCGAUGGUAUAAAGAGUUCGCAUGUUCUCUUUAUUAAAGAAUUUCGGUAAGCGAUGGGGAUGCGUUCCAUUAGAUUGUUGGCGGGGUAACGGCCCACCAAGUCUACGAUGGAUAGGGGUUCUGAGAGGAAGGUCCCCCACAUUGGAACUGAGACACGGUCCAAACUCCUACGGGAGGCAGCAGUGAGGAAUAUUGGUCAAUGGACGAGAGUCUGAACCAGCCAAGUAGCGUGAAGGAUGACUGCCCUAUGGGUUGUAAACUUCUUUUAUAAGGGAAUAAAGUGAGGGACGUGUCCCUUUUUGUAUGUACCCUAUGAAUAAGGAUCGGCUAACUCCGUGCCAGCAGCCGCGGUAAUACGGAGGAUCCGAGCGUUAUCCGGAUUUAUUGGGUUUAAAGGGAGCGUAGGUUGACGUAUAAGUCAGCUGUGAAAGUUUACGGCUCAACCGUGAAAUUGCAGUUGAUACUGUAUGUCUUGAGUGUACAAGAGGUGGGCGGAAUUCGUGGUGUAGCGGUGAAAUGCUUAGAUAUCACGAAGAACUCCAAUUGCGAAGGCAGCUCACUGGGGUACAACUGACACUGAGGCUCGAAAGUGUGGGUAUCAAACAGGAUUAGAUACCCUGGUAGUCCACACAGUAAACGAUGAAUACUCGCUGUUUGCGAUAUACAGUAAGCGGCCAAGCGAAAGCAUUAAGUAUUCCACCUGGGGAGUACGCCGGCAACGGUGAAACUCAAAGGAAUUGACGGGGGCCCGCACAAGCGGAGGAACAUGUGGUUUAAUUCGAUGAUACGCGAGGAACCUUACCCGGGCUUGAAUUGCAGAGGAACAUAGUUGAAAGAUUAUGGCCGCAAGGUCUCUGUGAAGGUGCUGCAUGGUUGUCGUCAGCUCGUGCCGUGAGGUGUCGGCUUAAGUGCCAUAACGAGCGCAACCCUUAUCAUUAGUUACUAACAGGUCAUGCUGAGGACUCUAGUGAGACUGCCGUCGUAAGAUGUGAGGAAGGUGG
rnacentral:rRNA from 1 species